CCAGACUCCUACGGGAGGCAGCAGUGGGGAAUAUUGCACAAUGGGGGAAACCCUGAUGCAGCGACGCCGCGUGAGUGAAGAAGUAUUUCGGUAUGUAAAGCUCUGUCAGCAGGGAAGAAGAAAGACGGUACCUGACCAAGAAGCCCCGGCUAACUACGUGCCAGCAGCCGCGGUAAUACGGAGGAUGCGAGCGUUAUCCGGAUUUAUUGGGUUUAAAGGGUGCGUAGGCGGACAGUCAAGUCAGCGGUAAAAAUGCGAUGCUCAACGCCGUACAGCCGUUGAAACUGGCAGUCUUGAGUGGGCGAGAAGUAUGCAGAAUGUGUGGUGUAGCGGUGUAAUGCAUAGAUAUCACGCAGAACUCCGAUUGCGAAGGCAGCAUACCGGCGCCCGACUGGCGCUGAGGCACGAAAGCGUGGGUAUCGAACAGGAUUAGAUACCCCCGUA
rnacentral:rRNA from 1 species